rnacentral:rRNA from 1 species
CCUACGGGAGGCUGCAGUGGGGAAUAUUGCACAAUGGGCGCAAGCCUGAUGCAGCCAUGCCGCGUGUGUGAAGAAGGCCUUCGGGUUGUAAAGCACUUUCAGCGGGGAGGAAGGCGGUGAGGUUAAUAACCUCAUCGAUUGACGUUACCCGCAGAAGAAGCACCGGCUAACUCCGUGCCAGCAGCCGCGGUAAUACGGAGGGUGCAAGCGUUAAUCGGAAUUACUGGGCGUAAAGCGCACGCAGGCGGUCUGUCAAGUCGGAUGUGAAAUCCCCGGGCUCAACCUGGGAACUGCAUUCGAAACUGGCAGGCUAGAGUCUUGUAGAGGGGGGUAGAAUUCCAGGUGUAGCGGUGAAAUGCGUAGAGAUCUGGAGGAACACCGGUGGCGAAGGCGGCCCCCUGGACAAAGACUGACGCUCAGGUGCGAAAGCGUGGGGAGCAAACAGGAUUAGAUACCCGAGUAGUC